AUUGAACGCUGGCGGCAUGCCUUACACAUGCAAGUCGAACGGCAGCACGGGGCAACCUGGUGGCGAGUGGCGAACGGGUGAGUAAUGCAUCGGAACGUACCUUUCAGUGGGGGAUAACGUAGCGAAAGUUACGCUAAUACCGCAUAUUCUGUGAGCAGGAAAGCAGGGGAUCGCAAGACCUUGCGCUGAUUGAGCGGCCGAUGUCAGAUUAGCUAGUUGGUGAGGUAAAGGCUCACCAAGGCGACGAUCUGUAGCGGGUCUGAGAGGAUGAUCCGCCACACUGAAACUGAGACACGGUCCAGACUCCUACGGGAGGCAGCAGUGGGGAAUUUUGGACAAUGGGGGCAACCCUGAUCCAGCCAUGCCGCGUGAGUGAAGAAGGCCUUCGGGUUGUAAAGCACUUUAAGUCGGGAGGAAGGGCUGUAGGCUAAUACCUUGCAGUUUUGACGUUACCGACAGAAUAAGCACCGGCUAACUUCGUGCCAGCCGCCGCCGUAACAC
rnacentral:rRNA from 1 species